CGUCAAUGAGAGAGAAACAUCGGUCAGCUGCCUCCCAACCUUACAGUAGAGGUUGAGUAGUAGUAUAUUUCUCCUACAUAG
rnacentral:snoRNA from 1 species